GAGGGUGUAGCUCAGUGGUAGAGCACAUGCUUAGCAUGCAGGAGGUCCUGGGUUCAGCCCCCAGUGCCUUCA
rnacentral:tRNA from 1 species